rnacentral:rRNA from 1 species
GACACGGCGCAGACUCUAACGGGAGGCAGCAGUGGGGUAUAUUGCACAAUGGGCGCAAGCCUGAUGCAGCGACGCCGCGUGAGGGAUGACGGCCUUCGGGUUGUAAACCUCUAUCAGUAGGGAAGAAGGCCGUAAGGUGACGGUACCUGCAGCAGAAGCGCCGGCUAACUACGUCCCAGCAGCCGCGGUAAUACGUAGGACGCAAGCGUUAUCCGGAAGUAUUGGGCGUAAAGAGCACGUAGGCUGUUUGUCGCGUCUGCUGUGAAAUACCGGGGCUCAACUCAGGUUCUGCAGUGAGUACGGGCAGACUAGAGUGCAGUAGGGGAGACUGGAAUUCCUGGUGUAGCGGUGAAAUGCGCAGAUAUCAGGAGGAACACCGAUGGCGAAGGCAGGUCUCUGGGCUGUAACUGACGCUGAGGAGCGAAAGCAUGGGGAGCGAACAGGAUUAGAUACCCUGGUAGUCCAUGCCGUAAACGUUGGGCACUAGGUGUGGGGGACAUUCCACGUUUUCCGCGCCGUAGCUAACGCAUUAAGUGCCCCGCCUGGGGAGUACGGCCGCAAGGCUAAAACUCAAAGGAAUUGACGGGGGCCCGCACAAGCGGCGGAGCAUGCGGAUUAAUUCGAUGCAACGCGAAGAACCUUACCAAGGCUUGACAUGAACCGGUAAUACCUGGAAACAGGUGCCCCGCUUGCGGUCGGUUUACAGGUGGUGCAUGGUUGUCGUCAGCUCGUGUCGUGAGAUGUUGGGUUAAGUCCCGCAACGAGCGCAACCCUCGUUCUAUGUUGCCAGCGGUUCGGCCGGGGACUCAUAGGAGACUGCCGGGGUCAACUCGGAGGAAGGUGGGGACGACGUCAAAUCAUCAUGCCCCUUAUGUCUUGGGCUUCACGCAUGCUACAAUGGCCGGUACAAAGGGUUGCGAUACUGUGAGGUGGAGCUAAUCCCAAAAAGCCGGUCUCAGUUCGGAUUGGGGUCUGCAACUCGACCCCAUGAAGUCGGAGUCGCUAGUAAUCGCAGAUCAGCAACGCUGCGGUGAAUACGUUCCCGGGCCUUGUACACACCGCCCGUCAAGUCACGAAAGUUGGUAACACCCGAAGCCGGUGGCCUAACCCUUGUGGGGGAGCCGUCGUGAGAUAUCAGCGUCCUA